rnacentral:rRNA from 1 species
UACGGAGGAUGCGAGCGUUAUCCGGAUUUAUUGGGUUUAAAGGGUGCGUAGGCGGCUUUUUAAGUCAGCGGUGAAAUUUUGCAGCUUAACUGUAACAGUGCCGUUGAUACUGGGGAGCUAGGAUUUGGUUGCUAUGGGUGGAAUGUGUGGUGUAGCGGUGAAAUGCUUAGAGAUCACACAGAAUAUCGAUUGCGAAGGCAGCUCACAAAGCCAAGAUUGACGCUGAGGCACGAAAGUGUGGGGAUCAAACAGGAUUA